rnacentral:lncRNA from 1 species
AAGCUUGGGUGUCGACACCAAUGCUCCUGGCUAGGAGGUCUGGAUCCUCCAUGGCCACUGGCUUGUGAGACUUGCAGCGACGGCAGUAGAGGAGGAGUCCCACGGUGGCAAUGAUGAGGAGAGACACGGAGCUCUCUGCUGACGGUCUUGCUUCCUGCUGAGGGUGCCAAGGGUGCUCACAGGUGCUCCGACAUCACAACCGUCCUCCUCAGCUAAAGCUGGUCCCUCUCUUGACCCAUGUCCCCUUCACCUCCUCCAACACCAUGUUCCCUGGUCUCUUCUCUACUGUGUCACAUUAUGACCAUUCCUUAGGGAUUAUUUCAGCCACUCCACAAACAUAGACCAG